AACCACGAAUUUCCAGCCCCAACCAAAGUCAAGUGCUGAAUGUUGGGUCUCUGGUUCACUCCUCCCAGACGAAGGAAGAACUCAGCGAGAGUUCGGGAGCGACAGCUGGGAAAGCUGACUCGGGCUUCUACAGUGAAGUGGGCUCGGGGGAGAGCCACGGGAGUUGGCGAAGCGAGGCAGCCCGAGAGGAGGCAGCCGUGCGUCUCCUGAGAACGGAGCCUGCCGGCCAGGGCUGCGAGCUCGUGGGCUGCGAGCUCGUGGGCUGCGAGCGCUGCUCCACGGCGGCGGCUGCCAAGUUCCGGCCUCUUUGUCUUCUCCCCCUCCGGCCGGGUCACUCUGGGAGACGCCGUGCAGUCGGUCAAAAUGCCACAGACCCUGCCAAGGCGUCCCGAGGACUCCCUCCGGCCCACCCCUGGCCGCGUCUCUCUCAAGCUGCCUGUCAACUCAUCCCGGUCCCUGGGCCAGCCUCAACCACUCCGGUCCGGCUAAGACCAGUCUUGCCCGCCAGCAGCCCCAGUCCGGCUCUCAAGCCGGAAGUCCGAGCGGGCCACUCAGGGCACCCAAGGCGCAUGCGCGACGGCACCUCCGGCGCCUCCUCGGCGCUCCGUGGCGGGAGCGAGCGAGCCGGUGGGCGCCUCCGAGCCGCGCGCACUUCCGGCACGCGGCGCGCGGCCCCGUGACGGCUCCCCGCGCGGCGGUCUGCGGGGUUUCUGGGCGAGCCACUCGGUUGGGUGUGAGUGGGCGCCCGCAGAGGCGCCGGAAGAGAAGGUGGGAAAUCUAGGGACUCCGAGGCCGCCCCAGAAAUGAUUCACGAGCUGCUCUUGGCGCUGAGUGGGUACCCAGGGUCCAUUUUCACCUGGAACAAGCGGAGUGGCCUGCAGGUUUCCCAGGACUUCCCGUUUCUUCACCCCAGUGAGACUAGUGUCCUGAAUCGACUCUGCAGGCUUGGCACAGACUACAUUCGAUUCACUGAGUUCAUUGAGCAGUACACAGGCCAUGUGCAGCAACAGGAUCACCAUCCACCCCAGCAGGGCCAAGGUGGGCUACAUGGGAUCUACCUGAGGGCCUUCUGCACAGGGCUGGAUUCAGUUUUACAGCCUUAUCGCCAAGCACUGCUUGACCUGGAACAAGAGUUCCUGGCUGACCCACAUCUCUCCAUAUCACAUGUCAAUUACUCCUUAGAUCAGUUCCAGCUCCUUUUUCCGUCUGUGGUGGUUGUAGUGGAGCAAAUUAAAAGCCAAAAGAUUCAUGGCUGUCAGAUCCUGGAAACAGUUUACAAACAUAGCUGUGGGGGGUUGCCUCCGGUUCGAAGCGCACUGGAAAAAAUCCUGGCUGUAUGCCAUGGAGUCAUGUAUAAACAGCUCUCAGCCUGGAUGCUACAUGGACUCCUCUUGGACCAGCAUGAAGAGUUCUUUAUCAAACAGGGUCCAUCUUCUGGUAAUAUCAGUGCCCAGGCGGAAGAGGAUGAAGAGGAUCUGGGGAUUGGAGGGCUGACAGGAAAGCAGCUGAGAGAACUGCAGGACCUGCGCCUAAUUGAGGAAGAGAACAUGCUGGCCCCGUCUCUAAAGCAGUUUUCUCUGCGAGUGGAGAUUUUACCAUCCUACAUUCCAGUGAGGGUUGCUGAAAAAAUCCUCUUUGUUGGAGAAUCUGUCCAGAUGUUUGAGAAUCAAAAUGUGAACCUAACGAGGAAAGGGUCCAUCUUGAAGAACCAGGAGGACACUUUUGCUGCAGAGCUGCAUCGGCUCAAGCAGCAGCCACUCUUCAGCCUCGUGGAUUUUGAGCAGGUGGUGGAUCGAAUUCGUAGCACUGUGGCUGAGCACCUCUGGAAGCUAAUGGUAGAGGAGUCAGACUUACUGGGUCAGCUGAAGAUCAUUAAAGACUUUUACCUUCUGGGACGAGGAGAACUGUUCCAGGCCUUCAUUGACACAGCUCAACACAUGUUAAAAACACCACCCACUGCAGUGACAGAGCAUGACGUGAAUGUGGCCUUUCAACAGUCGGCACACAAGGUGCUGCUAGAUGAUGACAACCUUCUUCCUCUGCUGCACUUGACAAUCGAGUAUCAUGGAAAGGACCACAAAGCAGAUGCCACCCAGCCAAGAGAAGGGCCUUCUCGGGAAACGUCUCCCAGGGAAGCCCCUGCUUCCGGCUGGGCUGCUCUGGGUCUCUCCUACAAAGUACAGUGGCCACUGCAUAUUCUCUUCACCCCAGCUGUCUUGGAAAAGUACAAUGUUGUUUUCAAGUAUUUACUGAGUGUGCGCCGUGUCCAAGCUGAACUGCAGCACUGCUGGGCUCUUCAGAUGCAGCGUAAGCACCUCAAAUCUAACCAGACAGAUGCAGUCAAGUGGCGCCUAAGAAAUCACAUGGCCUUCUUAGUAGAUAAUCUUCAGUACUAUCUCCAGGUAGAUGUGCUGGAGUCUCAGUUCUCACAGCUUCUUCAUCAGAUCAAUUCUACGCGGGACUUUGAAAGCAUCCGAUUGGCACAUGAUCACUUCCUAAGCAAUUUGCUGGCCCAGUCCUUUAUUUUGCUGAAACCUGUGUUUCACUGCCUGAAUGAAAUCCUAGAUCUCUGUCACAGUUUUUGUUCACUGGUCAGUCAGAACCUGGGUCCACUGGAUGAGCGGGGAGCUGCCCAGCUGAGCAUUCUCGUGAAGGGCUUUAGUCGUCAGUCUUCACUCCUGUUCAAGAUUCUUUCCAGCGUUCGGAAUCACCAGAUCAACUCAGAUUUGGCUCAAUUACUGCUCCGGCUAGAUUAUAACAAGUAUUAUACCCAGGCUGGUGGAACUCUGGGCAGUUUUGGGAUGUGAAAACUGGUUCAUAAAAUGAACUGAAAGUCCUACCACGUUCUGAUGUCUAUAGCAAACCUCCCCAGUCAUCUGUCAGAUGCCUGCAGACUGGUAAAAGGAAAGGAUGCUACCUUUUCUUCUAGAAGCAGUCCAGAGAGUAAAAAUAGCCAUUGGAUGACCACUUGGCCACAACACGGAGCCCCACAAAGCUGUUUCCUGGAGAUGAGGCAUCCAAGCCAUCAGAAGAACCAGUAGCAGCCUGAAAAGGAAUCUCUGGAGAAUCACUCCGCCGCAAAGCAUUAGAACCAGCAUCCAUUCGUUUGGUAGAGUCUGGCACACGGGGCACAAUUCGAGUGAAGGACUUGUCAUCUGGUGACAUACUAGGUGAAAUGUCUUCUAUGCCCAACGGACCAGACACAACUGCAUCUCUAAAGACAGAAUGUUUCCAGAGCACUGUGCUAACUGACAUGGUGUAGAGAAGCAAGAGUCCUCUCAGCGAGUCCAGUCUCUCCACAAGACCACCACCACCACACACAUUUCUGUAAUACUGUAAGCAAAAGACACAGACCACGUAAGAACAGAACCAACAGCAGAAUGCAGCCAUGGCUCUCCCAGUUAACUAUCAGAGGAACAGAGUCAGGCAUGAUAAAUAUUCCAUUUAUUUACAGAAUUUGACAACUCGACUAGAAGACUGCCCAUCAAGCCCCAGGAAUCAUCUUGUCUUUGCCUCCCCAGUGCUAGGAUCACAGGGUGCACACUGCUCCAUCGGGCUUCUUUACAUGGGAUCUGGGGGUGGAACCCCAGCCCUCCUCAUGUUUCAACAGUGAGCACUUUACCAAUGGAGCUAUCUCCCCAACCCUCAAGUUAAUCAUUUCCAUUUCCAGAUGGGCUCCAAAAUCAUGCUUUAGUAGGAUGUUGGUGAGUUUUAUAAAAUAGACUGUUUGCACGUGAGAUCUUAAAGCCCUGCUUGUCACUACAUCGAAUCGUUAACUUCUCAGAGCCUCCUGUGUUUACUACCUAGGGCCUGCUGGUGGCUGAAACCUGCCAGCAUUCCCGUCUGUUCUCUCCAGCACUGACUCCACCCCCACCCGACUGGCUCUGCAAUGCUACGAAGAAAUGCACUGUCUCACACCUCACCUUCCACGUGGUAAGACGACUGUACUUUCACCAUCAAUACCAAGUCUUUCCAAACUAUAUUUACCACCACAAUAAAGGGAAUU